rnacentral:tRNA from 1 species
GAUUCUAUAUUUUAUUAAAAAUAUUAAAUUGCAAGUUUAAAGAUAAUAUAAUUUAUGUUUAGAAUUU